GCCUCAGAGGGUGCACCUAUUGGUCUCAGGU
rnacentral:piRNA from 1 species